rnacentral:rRNA from 1 species
UACGGAGACUACGAGCGUUACUCGGAUUCACUGGGCGUAAAGGGUAUGUAGGCGGUUGUGUGUGUUAGAUGUGAAAGCCCGGAGCUUAACUCCGGAACGGCAUCUAAAACUGCACGGCUAGAGUUUUGGAGAGGGUAGUGGAAUUCCUAGUGUAGCAGUGAAAUGCGUAGAUAUUAGGAGGAACACCAAAGGCGAAGGCAGCUACCUGGACAAAUACUGACGCUGAAGUACGAAGGCGUGGGGAGCAAAAGGG